rnacentral:rRNA from 1 species
GAUGAACGCUGGCGGCGUGCCUAAUACAUGCAAGUCGAGCGAACGGACGAGAAGCUUGCUUCUCUGAUGUUAGCGGCGGACGGGUGAGUAACACGUGGAUAACCUACCUAUAAGACUGUGAUAACUUCGGGAAACCGGAGCUAAUACCGGAUAAUAUCUUGAACCGCAUGGUUCAAAAGUGAAAGACGGUCUUGCUGUCACUUAUAGAUGGAUCCGCGCUGCAUUAGCUAGUUGGUAAGGUAACGGCUUACCAAGGCAACGAUGCAUAGCCGACCUGAGAGGGUGAUCGGCCACACUGGAACUGAGACACGGUCCAGGCUCCUAAGGGAGGCAGCAGUAGGGAAUCUUCCGCAAUGGGCGAAAGCCUGACGGAGCAACGCCGCGUGAGAGAUGAAGGUCUUCGGAUCGUAAAACUCUGUUAUGAGGGAAGAACAGAUGUGUAAGUAACUGUGCACAGCUUGACGGUACCUAAUCAGAAAGCCACGGCUAACUACGUG